AAUUAUAGCAAAAGCAAAUACGCUAAGGGAAAAGGAAGAGAAGCAAAAGCAAAAGCAAACGAAAGAGAAUUAGUCAAAUAGAAGCGGCAGCAAACAGAGGGAGAGAAAUAUUCACAAAAAGAUCUGUGACCAGGCAAACCGGAAAUUAAAUCUGCAACGUUUCUGCCCCGAAAAGACCAGGAGACCAAAGACCCGAGACCUGAGACCCGAGACCUCAGAGUCCAGAGUCCAGACCCCGAAAAGGAAGAGAAAGCCGCAGCAGCCGCAACCGCAGCAAAAUCCGAGUCGAGCAAACGGAACACGCGUGCCAAAUAUUUGCUCAAAAAUAGGAGAAUAAAAUAAUAAUCAAAGCACCGGAGAGGAGAGUAUCCCAGCGAAUUGAGAGAUUUAUUCGGCGGGAGAGUGGGCAAAUAGGGGGACACGUUUCAUGAGCGCUGCAGCAGGCUCCGAGAGCAGGGAAAGGCCACGGACCGCCUUCACCGGAGGCCAUUGUUGACACUCGCUCUGAACUCUGACCCUCCGCCGUUGGUGCGUCUCGUCUCCGGUCCAAGCUCCAGCUCUUUGUCUCCAGCUUCUGCUCCCGCUCCCGCUUUUGUGCUAAUCAUCGCGGACACAGCGAACGACGACUGCCUGAAAGGAGGUGACGGAGGAGAAACCCUGGCCAACUAUUUAACCAAGGUGACGAGGCAAGGAUUGCUUGUCCCAGAGGCAGCAGAAGGCAGUCGGAGGUCAGGCAGCUAUUCAACCCAGGAGGCAGGCGAAACAAGCAAACCAAGGACAUGGACUCCUCGCUGCCGUCGUCUCUGUCGCUGUUUGUCCUGUUGAUCUUUCUGGCGAUAAUUAAAGAGAGCUGUCAGGGUCCUCAUGAGAAGCGCCUGCUCAACCACCUGCUCUCCACCUACAAUACGCUGGAGCGACCCGUCGCCAAUGAGUCGGAGCCCCUGGAGGUGAAGUUCGGACUGACGCUGCAGCAGAUCAUCGAUGUGGACGAGAAAAAUCAACUUCUCAUAACGAAUCUUUGGCUUUCGUUGGAAUGGAAUGACUACAAUCUGCGAUGGAACGAGACGGAAUAUGGCGGGGUCAAGGAUCUGCGAAUCACGCCCAACAAACUGUGGAAGCCCGACGUGCUCAUGUACAAUAGCCAUGCCGGGAAAGAAGAAUACGAUAGUCUACGCCUGCUGCCCAGAACCAUAUGUCGAUAUCACCUUUACUAUACAAAUACGUCGCCGUACAUUAUAUUAUUUUUUCAAUUUAAUUGUGCCCUGUGUGCUAAUCUCAUCGAUGGCCCUCUUGGGCUUCACAUUGCCGCCGGACUCUGGCGAGAAGCUGACGCUGGGCACCUAUUUCAACUGCAUCAUGUUCAUGGUCGCAUCGUCGGUGGUGCUCACGGUUGUGGUGCUCAACUAUCACCAUCGCACAGCGGACAUUCACGAGAUGCCACCGUGGAUCAAAUCCGUUUUCCUACAAUGGCUGCCCUGGAUCUUGCGGAUGGGUCGACCCGGCCGCAAGAUCACACGCAAAACAAUACUAUUAAGCAAUCGCAUGAAGGAAUUGGAGCUGAAGGAGCGCUCUUCCAAGUCUCUGCUCGCCAAUGUUCUCGAUAUUGACGAUGACUUUCGGCAUACAAUAUCAGGAUCUCAAACCGCCAUCGGUUCGUCGGCUAGCUUUGGCCGACCCACAACGGUGGAGGAACACCACACGGCCAUUGGCUGCAAUCACAAAGAUCUCCACUUAAUUCUCAAAGAAUUGCAAU
rnacentral:misc_RNA from 1 species